GACGAACGCUGGCGGCGUGCUUAACACAUGCAAGUCGAACGGAAAGGCCCGGCUUUUGUGGGGUGCUCGAGUGGCGAACGGGUGAGUAACACGUGAGUAACCUACCCUUGACUUUGGGAUAACUUAAGGAAACUGGGGGUAAUACCGGAUAGGAGUUCCCGCUGCUGGGUGGGGGUUGGAAGGUUUCGGCGGUUGGGGAUGGACUCGCGGCUUAUCAGCUUGUUGGUGGGGUAGUGGCUUACCAAGGCUUUGACGGGUAGCCGGCCUGCGAGGGUGACCGGCCACGCUGGGACUGAGAUACGGCCCAGCCUCCUACGGGAGGCAGCAGUGGGGAAUAUUGCACAAUGGGCGGAAGCCUGAUGCAGCAACGCCGCGUGCGGGAUGAGGGCCUUCGGGUUGUAAACCGCUUUCGCCUGUGACGAGGCGUGAGUGACGGUAAUGGGUAAAGAAGCACCGGCUAACUCCGUG
rnacentral:rRNA from 1 species